rnacentral:ribozyme from 1 species
GGAACACUAUACUACUGGAUAAUCAAAGACAAAUCUGCCCGAAGGGUUUGAGAACAUACCCAUUGCACUCCGGGUAUGCAGAGGUGGCAGCCUCCGGUGGGUUAAAACCCAACGUUCUCAACAAUAGUGA